GUCAAACACAAUUUUAAUAAAGCUUUUAAUAAAAUAAGUGUCUUUUUUACAAAGAAGGAAAUCCAAUAAAGUCAGUUUGAAAAUAAAUUGUGAAAGGGAACUUUAGGACAACUUUUCGGAGGUGAAAUUUAGAUAUGCACAUUCGAUUCCCGCACAUGCCAACAUAUUUCUAUUAUUUAUUAAUUUUUUGUAAAAUCCCGCCAAUCCCCUUUUUCCCUUUUCAAGAAACCGCCAAAAUUGCAUAAAACCUAGUCAUAUAUAUCUCUUCCAUUUCAGUGCUUUCUGCCACACCUAUGCUUGCUGCCGCCGCUGACCAUUGAUGUAGGUACAUUUUUAUAUUUUAUUCUUUUGAUUUAAAUAGAUCUUGUUUAAUUUUUGUCCUUUUGUUGCUUACCUUUCCUUAUGCCUUUUAUAUGAUAUAUUGUUGUACAUAGUUUUUAUACUUUGGUUGCUUCUCCUGUCAUCAACAGAUUCAAAUUAUGUUAUUUUGUUCUUUAUGAUAAUUUUGUUAAAAAGCCCAUAUUAAAUUCAGGGAAAAUGUUACAUAUACAUCUUUUAAUUGCAUACACCCUUGUACACCCCAUGUAUUAGGAAGAGAGAAGAGAAGAAGAAAGAGAAAGUGUACUUGUGCGGGGUCCAUAUGGCCACAUGUCAGAUUUUUGUGUGGGUGUCAAGGGGUGCAUUGCCACCUAACCACAUGCCAGAUUUUUGUGUGGAUGUCAAGGGGUGCAUUGCCAUCUAAGGGUGUUUAUGUAUCAUAACUCUAAAUUCAGUAUGUGUUUUGUCUAUUAGUACUAGCUUGCUCUUUGUUUAUUAUAUUGUUUGAUUACCUAUGCUCUCAUAUGAAUCUUUAUUUCGG
rnacentral:lncRNA from 1 species